CCUCCACACCCAGGAAAGGUCCCAUAAUCUAUCUGCUGACAUGCUCCAAGCCCCUCCCUCUUCAGGGUGAGCCUGUCCUGGCUUUAAAAAUCCAAGCUGGUGCUUGGGUCAGCACAGCAGUCAGCAGGAUCGAUUGUCCUUGACCACCUGGAACUCCAACCAUGGCCAGUACCGGAGUAGAGGACCUGAAGCAGGAGGUGGAAGGAGCCACCCAGGAAGCCAGUGAAAAGGACAACUCCAUCCCAGGGGCCGGAAAUGAAGGCAUGGACAAGUGCUGCCUGGAACCCAACGACAAGGCUGCUAACCAGGGAUCCGACAACAAGGACAAACAAUUGAGCCACCAGAAGUGACAAAAAAAUGUGGACCCCGCGUUCCGUUCUGCUGGUACCUCCCUGAUUUGCUUUUAAUUAAAAUUCAUGUUGUCCUGA